rnacentral:rRNA from 1 species
UGAAUACGAGAUGCUACGGCGUCGAAGCAGUCUAUGUCAUACUUCCAAGAAAAGCUCGCACUGUCAUAAACAAAUAAUGCCUGUACCAUAACCGACACAGGUGGGUAGGUAGAGUAUACUAAGGGGCGCGAGAUAACUCUCUCUAAGGAACUCGGCAAAAUGACUCCGUAACUUCGGGAGAAGGAGUGCCUUAUUUAUAAGGUUGCAAUAACAAGAUCCAAGCAACUGUUUAUCAAAAACACAGGUCUCCGCUAAGUCGUAAGACGAUGUAUGGGGGCUGACGCCUGCCCAGUGCCAGAAGGUUAAAGAAGUUGGUUAGCAUUCGCGAAGCUGAUAACUGAAGCCCUGGUGAACGGCGGCCGUAACAAUAACGGUCCUAAGGUAGCGAAAUUCCUUGUCGGGUAAGUUCCGACCCGCACGAAGGGCGUAAUGAUUUGGAUACUGUCUCGGAGAGGGGCUCGGUGAAAUAGACUUGUCUGUGAAGAUGCGGACUACCUGCACCAGGACAGAAAGACCCUAUGAAGCUUUACUGUAACUUGAGAUUGAAAUUGGACUUUACUUGCGCAGUAUAGGUGGGAGGCGUUGAUAAUAUUCUUGCGGGAUUAUUUGAGCCAUCAGUGAGAUACCACUCUUGUAAUGUUAGAUUUCUAACUUUGUAUCAUUAUCUGGUCAAAGGACAGUUUCAGGCGGGCAGUUUGACUGGGGCGGUCGCCUCCUAAACGGUAACGGAGGCGCACAAAGGUUUCCUCUGAACGGGUAGAAAUCGUAUCUAGAGUGUAAAGGCAUAAGGAAGCUUGACUGUGAGACCUACAAGUCGAGCAGGGACGAAAGUCGGUCUUAGUGAUCUGACGGUGCUGAGUGGAAAGGCCGUCACUCAACGGAUAAAAGUUACUCUAGGGGUAACAGGCUGAUCUCCCCCAAGAGUUCACAUCGACGGGGAGGUUUGGCACCUCGAUGUCGGCUCAUCGCAUCCUGGGGCGGUAGUACGUCCCAAGGGUUGGGCUGUUCGCCCAUGAAAGCGGUACGCGAGCUGGGUUCAGAACGUCGUGAGACAGUUCGGUCCAUAUCCGGUGUAGGCGUUAGAAUAUUGAGAGGAGCCUUCUUUAGUACGAGAGGACCGAGAAGGACAUACCUCUGGUGUACCAGUUAUCGUGCCAACGGUAAACGCUGGGUAGCUAUGUAUGGAGUGGAUAACCGCUGAAAGCAUCUAAGUGGGAAGCCCACCUCAAGAUAAG